rnacentral:rRNA from 1 species
GAUGAACGCUGGCGGCGUGCCUAAUACAUGCAAGUCGAGCGAACGGACGAGAAGCUUGCUUCUCUGAUGUUAGCGGCGGACGGGUGAGUAACACGUGGAUAACCUACCUAUAAGACUGGGAUAACUUCGGGAAACCGGAGCUAAUACCGGAUAAUAUUUUGAACCGCAUGGUUCAAAAGUGAAAGACGGUCUUGCUGUCACUUAUAGAUGGAUCCGCGCUGCAUUAGCUAGUUGGUAAGGUAACGGCUUACCAAGGCAACGAUGCAUAGCCGACCUGAGAGGGUGAUCGGCCACACUGGAACUGAGACACGGUCCAGACUCCUACGGGAGGCAGCAGUAGGGAAUCUUCCGCAAUGGGCGAAAGCCUGACGGAGCAACGCCGCGUGAGUGAUGAAGGUCUUCGGAUCGUAAAACUCUGUUAUUAGGGAAGAACAUAUGUGUAAGUAACUGUGCACAUCUUGACGGUACCUAAUCAGAAAGCCACGGCUAACUACGUGCCAGCAGCCGCGGUAAUACGUAGGUGGCAAGCGUUAUCCGGAAUUAUUGGGCGUAAAGCGCGCGUAGGCGGUUUUUUAAGUCUGAUGUGAAAGCCCACGGCUCAACCGUGGAGGGUCAUUGGAAACUGGAAAACUUGAGUGCAGAAGAGGAAAGUGGAACUCCAUGUGUAGCGGUGAAAUGCGCAGAGAUAUGGAGGAACACCAGUGGCGAAGGCGACUUUCUGGUCUGUAACUGACGCUGAUGUGCGAAAGCGUGGGGAUCAAACAGGAUUAGAUACCCUGGUAGUCCACGCCGUAAACGAUGAGUGCUAAGUGUUAGGGGGUUUCCGCCCCUUAGUGCUGCAGCUAACGCAUUAAGCACUCCGCCUGGGGAGUACGACCGCAAGGUUGAAACUCAAAGGAAUUGACGGGGACCCGCACAAGCGGUGGAGCAUGUGGUUUAAUUCGAAGCAACGCGAAGAACCUUACCAAAUCUUGACAUCCUUUGACAACUCUAGAGAUAGAGCCUUCCCCUUCGGGGGACAAAGUGACAGGUGGUGCAUGGUUGUCGUCAGCUCGUGUCGUGAGAUGUUGGGUUAAGUCCCGCAACGAGCGCAACCCUUAAGCUUAGUUGCCAUCAUUAAGUUGGGCACUCUAAGUUGACUGCCGGUGACAAACCGGAGGAAGGUGGGGAUGACGUCAAAUCAUCAUGCCCCUUAUGAUUUGGGCUACACACGUGCUACAAUGGACAAUACAAAGGGCAGCGAAACCGCGAGGUCAAGCAAAUCCCAUAAAGUUGUUCUCAGUUCGGAUUGUAGUCUGCAACUCGACUACAUGAAGCUGGAAUCGCUAGUAAUCGUAGAUCAGCAUGCUACGGUGAAUACGUUCCCGGGCCU